GAAGGAAAGAAGAAGAUGAUUAGAAAGAUAUGUAGAU
rnacentral:sRNA from 1 species